ACGGCGACCGGCGCACGGGUGAGUAACACGUAUGCGACCUGCCCGUAGCAGGGGGAUAAGCGGAAGAAAUUCCGUCUAAUACCGCGUAAUAUCUUCCGGGGGCAUCCCUGGGGGAUUAAAGGAAGCGAUUCCGGCUACGGAUGGGCAUGCGGCGCAUUAGCUAGUCGGCGGGGUAACGGCCCACCGAGGCGACGAUGCGUAGGGGUUCUGAGAGGAAGGUCCCCCACACUGGUACUGAGACACGGACCAGACUCCUACGGAAGGCAGCAG
rnacentral:rRNA from 1 species